rnacentral:rRNA from 1 species
AGUGAACGCUGGCGGUAGGCCUAACACAUGCAAGUCGAACGGCAGCACAGAGGAGCUUGCUCCUUGGGUGGCGAGUGGCGGACGGGUAAGGAAUACAUCGGAAUCUACUCUGUCGUGGGGGAUAACGUAGGGAAACUUACGCUAAUACCGCAUACGACCUACGGGUGAAAGCAGGGGACCUUCGGGCCUUGCGCGGAUAGAUGAGCCGAUGUCGGAUUAGCUAGUUGGCGGGGUAAAGGCCCACCAAGGCGCCGAUCCGUGGCUGGUCUGAGAGGAUGGUCAGCCACAAUGGAAAAGAGACACGGUCCAGACUCCUACGGGGGGCAGCAGUGGGGAAUAUUGGACAAUGGGCGCAAGCCUGAUCCAGACAUACCGCGUGGGUGAAGAAGGCCUUCGGGUUGUAAAGCCCUUUUGUUGGGAAAGAAAAGCAACCAGUUAAUACCUGGUUGUUCUGACGGUACCCAAAGAAUAAGCACCGGCUAACUUCGUGCCAGCCGCCGCAGUAA